rnacentral:rRNA from 1 species
GAGAUGUGUGAUGACGCAUAUCAAUAAGCGGAGGAAAAGAAACUAACAAGGAUUCCCCUAGUAACGGCGAGUGAAGCGGGAAGAGCUCAAAUUUGAAAUCUUCAAGGUUCUACCUUGACGAAUUGUAGUUUAUAGAAGUGUUUUCUGUUAGUAGAGUGGCAAAAGUUCUUUGGAAUAGGACAUCAUAGAGGGUGAGAAUCCCGUAUUUGGUCAUUCCUCCUAGCGUUGUGAUACACUUUCAACGAGUCGGAUUGUUUGGGAAUGCAGUCCAAAAUGGGUGGUAAAUUUCAUCUAAAGCUAAAUAUUGGCGAGAGACCGAUAGCGAACAAGUACCGUGAGGGAAAGAUGAAAAGAACUUUGAAAAGAGAGUUAAACAGUACGUGAAAUUGUCAAAAGGGAAGCGUUUGACACCAGUGUUGUUUUUCCGAAAAUCAAUUACGAAUGUUUUGUUUUUGAGGAGUUAUGACUUCAUCGGCUUGCUCCUUUCUUUAUGAAACUUUCUUAAUGCACUUUUCGGUUAACAAGUCAACAUCAAUUUCUUUUGUUGUAAAAGGGUAUGAGGAAGGUGGCUUUCUUUUCGGAGAAAGUGUUUAUAGCCUUGUGCCUCUGCAAUCGGAGAGAUUGAGGUCUGCAGCGUAGAUCCUUCGGGGUUAGAUACGUUUGUGCUAAGUUAUAGCUUUUCAUAGACAACUUGUUGACUAUGUUUAGUCUUGUAGCUUACUCGCUGAUGCUAUUUUACCUACGCUUAGGAUGUUGACGCAUGAGAUAUACGC